rnacentral:rRNA from 1 species
AUUGAACGCUGGCGGCAUGCUUUACACAUGCAAGUCGAACGGUAACAGGUUAAGCUGACGAGUGGCGAACGGGUGAGUAAUGCAUCGGAACGUGCCCGGUCGUGGGGGAUAACACUUCGAAAGAAGUGCUAAUACCGCAUACGAUCUGAGGAUGAAAGCGGGGGACCGUAAGGCCUCGCGCGAUCGGAGCGGCCGAUGUCAGAUUAGGUAGUUGGUGGGGUAAAGGCCCACCAAGCCGACGAUCUGUAGCUGGUCUGAGAGGACGACCAGCCCCACUGGGACAGAGACACGGCCCAGACUCCUACGGGAGGCAGCAGUGGGGAAUUUUGGACAAUGCGCGCAAGCCUGAUCCAGCAAUGCCGCGUGCAGGAAGAAGGCCUUCGGGUUGUAAACUGCUUUUGUACGGAGCGAAAAGGCUCUCUCUAAUACAGGGAGCUCAUGACGGUACCGUAAGAAUAAGCACCGGCUAACUACGUGCCAGCCGCCGCGGUAA